ensembl:lncRNA
UAUUAUCCCAAUAUACAUGGCAGUGAAUAAAUCAAAUCCUUGGCCGAAAGCAUGUCAUAUCCGAUACGACAGGUGGCGCUGUUUUCAUUACAACUAGUUGUGAUACAGCCAUUUCCGCUUGACCGCUUCACCACUACCAACAACAACAACAACAACAUCAACAUUACGAGAAAGAUGGCGAACGGAGAGCAAGUCUGUAGGUUUCAAGAAGAUGGGGACAGAAAACCUGGCACAGGGGACAGAAAGAGUCCUAGAAGAGAGAAGACCGGGAGCAGGGAGACACACACAAAGGCACUGAGCUGCAGGUGGAUGUGAUGAUGUUUGUCUCAGCAGCACAGAGAGGACAGCACGUACAGAUCAUAGGAUCAUGCUCCCAAGCAGAAAUACAUUUUUUUUCCCGCAUUUGAUCC